rnacentral:lncRNA from 1 species
UGCCACCGGAAAAAGAGGGUAUCUUGGAUAGGGACAGACAUUUUGCCUUGCAACAGGCCACCUACGGACCCCUCAGAGAGUUGUUGCAAGGGUUCUUAACGUGCAAUGAGCGUGGUACUCUCUUUACACGAGGCAUCGGAUUUAACGUCCCCCUUCUGACCGGACGUGACUGCGAACUUGAUACAUCCCGCACAGCCAAACGGACGCC